CGAACCGUCCGAACGUUGUUCGGAAUCACUGGGCUUAAAGGGCGCGUAGGCGGGCUGCCAAGUCUGUGGUGAAAUCCUCCGGCUCAACCGGAGAACUGCCGUGGAUACUGGCGGCCUCGAGGAAGAUAGGGGACUCUGGAACUGUGCGUGGAGCGGUGAAAUGCGUUGAUAUGCACAGGAACUCCGGUGGCGAAGGCGAGGGUCUGGAUCUUUUCUGACGCUGAGGCGCGAAAGCCAGGGGAGCGAACGGGAUCAGAUACCCCGGUAGUCCUGGCCCUAAACGUUGAGUACUAGCUAGUAGACUUGAUACGGGUUUACUGGCGAAGCAAAAGUGCUAAGUACUCCGCCUGGGGAGUAUGGUCGCAAGACUG
rnacentral:rRNA from 1 species